GUCGACUCCUUCUAUCCCCGACCUCUCUCCCCUUUUUCCCAAUCUGGCUGGUUGGAUGAAUCCUGCCCGGCAGCGCCGGCGACCACAACCUCGAGUAGACCACAGUGCCCCCCCUCACGCCUCCUCACCACCGGCCUCCGCCCCUAUCCUCUCCCCCUAAGCAAUCAGCCUUGUCUCCCACCCUCUCCUCCUCACCUCAUCAGAAGAGAAGAGAACAGGGAGAUCGACCAGGUCAGGCGCCAACCAGAUCCUCCACGGACCACGGCCGCAGCCACCUCACUCAGGCUCCGAGCUUGGCAUCCAUGGAGGUCAGAACAGCACGCCGGGAUAGGACCUAAGCUCGGCCACGUGAGGAGACGUCUGCCUGCUCCGCGCCAUCGACGCCAUUGAGCUUCCCCCCUCUAGCAGGCUAGCAUCCAUUCUUCUCUGAUCCACUAGAAACGAGGACAUGGCGCCAUGCAAGAGAGAGGAGCAAGGUGGCUUCUGCAGGUUGCGGCUCAGAUUUUCAGCACAAGUAGAGGCUGGGCACUUGGUGCUUAGAAUAGCAGGGUGAGAUGGAGUUUUGUGGAGCACUAAGGUAGAUACAGUUGUGGUACUGUAUUUUGAGUAGUAUUUCUGGUUCAUCAGUUUUGAUAUUGGGAUUGGUUGCUUUCCUGUGUCGUGAUGUUGGGUUGCUAUCUACCCAUAUUCGUGUAAUAAGUAGUUGGCUGUAUAGAGUUCUGUAGUUGGCUGUAGAGUUCUUGCUGCGUUUGCGAGGUGUUUUGUGUCUGCUAAUUUACAAUCAUGGCUGAUCCUUGUGACCAGAACCUGAAGCUUGCUUUGUAUUAUCAGUUUCACUGCUGCAAAUGAAAUUGGGAGUGGGGAGCUCCUAAAGUCGAAAAAAAAAUGUUGUUCAUGUUGUGCUAUGCUCUGCAUCAAUUGCUGAUUUGUGUGCCAGGCCACCACCACGGUCGCACCCGCGUCUCCGCUCCACUCAAUCGUAUCGGCCUACGACGCAGACAUCCUAAGUCUGAGAAGCGAUCCUGGUUCAAGAGCUUGUUGGUCAGCUCUGGUCAUUGGGAUCCCAUGGAUGCCACCAAUGCAUGCAAUCAAUAAACAUAUUUGAUCAUGUCUUCUUGAACCAGUCAGCAUCCCAAGAUGAAUUCAAUAAAUCUAGCACUCCAAUCUAUCUGCCACUUAGCCCCUGAAAUUAGUAUGACUACUAGCUAACUACACCAAUUCAUAAAGCUCUACAAUCUACUGUAACUAUCUCACAUGGUAUGGUACUAGCGAACAAUUUUUUUCAGUUGUUAAUUAUUUUUAUAACUCAAAUCAUCCUAUUGUUGAAUAGAUGUGAAGUACAUAUCUGGUAGCUUACGAUUGUUCAAAAAACUAAGACCAUGAUCAUUCCUAAAUGUGAGAUUUCAUUGUGAAUUAUUUGGUACAAUUGAUUCUUUUGUUCUGCUUCAGCUCACUCUUAAAUAUUGGAAAUUUGUGUCCAGAGCCCUUCGUUGGCAACUCACUGAUGUAGACACUCACGUGGAUGCAGCCGCUCAGCCCCAAAUUGAUUUUUCUGUAAGGAUUCUCGGUAUAUAUUUAGUUCGAAAGCAUCGAUCUUAUUCAAUUUACUUUACUUGAAUGUUAUCUAUGUAAGUGUUUGAGCCAGAACAUCUUAUGUGGGUGUCUUCUCAUGAUAUUUGUACCUUACAAAGAUUCUGUCUUGAUUUGAAUUUUACCGGGGGCUUUCCUACUUUUACCAUUUGAUUAUUACCAUUUUUGUGUAUCACAUUUUCUGUAAGUUGAGCCUUAAUACAUAUAUGGCAUGGCAAUCACACCAUGAUUACAAGUAUAUAUGUUGUUUGCUGUUAGAAAAAAUAAAUUUGCCGUCUAUUGAUCAGUGCAUCACAGUAAUGAUUUCUCCCGUCACAUGCCAUUCAUUUAUUAGCUUAUUUGUUGCAUUGGUAUUUCAGGUCACUCCCUAAUUUACUUGUAACACAGAUUGAAUGUGCUUUGACAGAUAUAGUCAGAUAUCAAGGAAACAUCCACGUCUAAGUUGUUUUAGAUAUAUUUUAUAUUGGUUUAUAGCUCGCUGAUAAUACCAUUUUUUUAAUUUAAGAUAUAAGAAAUCUUUGCCUUCUUGAACCACUAUACAGUGAAGUUUCCUUUUUGUUGGGAUAGCAUUAUGGUCAACUAAUUCGAUAGAAAUUUUUACCCAGAGAAUGCUAAACAAGGAAACAAAGUACACUUGCUAAAUUUAAUUUCCUUCGUCAAGGAUAUAGGGAAAAAAAAUUCUCUUAUAGAUCUUGGUCACCAUUUGUGAUCUUAUUCCAGGAUCCAUGCUAUGCAUGCCCAUAUAUUUUUCCUCCCGAGUCUAAUUGGAUGACUAGAAUAUUACCGAGCCAUACAUGUUUUUCCCUGCUGUUUAUGACUUGGCAGUUCGGAUUAGUUGUAAUUACUACGAACAUUGUUGUGUAUGUAGUCAUACCAUGUAUCUGUGAAUCUUGAGAUUUCCUUUAAUUACUGAAUAAUAU